GCCCAGCUGUGCACAGCCGCUCGGGGCUGCACCGGGACCCCCCCCCGCCGCCAGGCCGGCCCUGCUCCGGCUUCCUGGGGGAGAGGAAGCCCGGCGGGGUGGGCUGCCGGCUUCCUGCCUUUGUCUGCCUGCCGCGGGGGGCCGCAGGGGAAGGCCCCUUCCUUCCCCUCGGCCCCACGGUGGGAGCCGAGCCGGCAGCGCCGCGAUGCUCCGGUUCUGCCCGCUGCCACCGCCGCCACCGCCGCCACCGCCGCCAUGGCCCUGCUCCUGCCUCUGCUGGCCUUCCUGCAGACCCUGCCGGCGCCCGGGCACCCCGCAGAGCUGCUGCCGGCCCCCACCCUGGUGAUGCUGCCGGGACGCUUGGACCUCCGCGGCCCCGGCGGGGACGAGGCCGUCACCCUGCGCUGCCUGGCGCCCAUCACCGCGCGGGUGGCCUUGUACCUCUUCUACCGGCGGGCAGAGCCCCGGAGCCCCCGCACGAACUUCAGGAACUCCUCGGUGCCCGACAUCAAGGACACGGCGCUGCCCGGCCUCUACUCCUGCGCCUACAUGGAGCCCGGCCACCGCGGGGGGGGACCGUCCCUCGAGAGCCCCCUGACCCCCUUCUUGCCGCCGUGGGGCCACCUGCCCACCAUGCACCCGGGGGUCCCGACCGCGCCGGCGCCGUGGGACAACGGCACCGCCGGCCACCGCCGUCUCGUCCCCGGCCGCUCGGCCUCCUGCCGCCGGCACCCGAGCCCGGCCUUCGCCGCCGCCGCCCUCGCCUUCCUGCUGCCCCGCGGCUGCCGCUAGCGGCGAGAUUCCCGCGCUCGGCGCCCGCCGUCGCUGCCCGGCCCCGCGAAACGCCGACCGGCAGCGGCGUUCGGAGGUGCUCAGGAAACGCCCGGCUCCGAGCGGACCCUCAGCUUUCUCCCCCCGUGUUACUGCAAUAACCCGUUGCACAGAUGUAUUAUCUAUACAAUAACCCUCACAUAGGUAGAUCUGAUACACGAUAACCGUCGCAUAGGUGUGCGGUGUCUACACUAACCCCUCGCAAAGCAUCAGCCUGAAAAAGCGGUGCCGGAGCCCGCAAGGACGGGGAGGGAGGGCCGGGGCAAGGGGGCCACUUGCAAUAAACUUGCUCUGCACAAGGAUUCGGCGAGUCCU
rnacentral:lncRNA from 1 species